rnacentral:rRNA from 1 species
UGGGGAAUCUUGCACAAUGGGCGAAAGCCUGAUGCAGCGACGCCGCGUUCGGGAUGAAGGCCUUCGGGUUGUAAACCGCUUUCAGCAGGGACGAGGCCGCAAGGUGACGGUACCUGCAGAAAAAGCCCCGGCUAACUACGUGCCAGCAGCCGCGGUAAUACGUAGGGGGCUAGCGUUGUCCGGAAUCACUGGGCGUAAAGGGUUCGCAGGCGGAAUAACAAGUCAGAUGUGAAAGGCAUGGGCUCAAACCAUGUAAGCAUUUGAAACUGUAAUUCUUGAGAAGUGGAGAGGUAAGUGGAAUUCCUAGUGUAGCGGUGAAAUGCGUAGAUAUUAGGAGGAAUACCUGUGGCGAAGGCGACUUACUGGACACAAAUCUGACGCUGAGGAACGAAAGCGUGGGUAGCAAACAGG